UACGUAGGGUGCGAGCGUUGUCCGGAAUUAUUGGGCGUAAAGAGCUUGUAGGUGGCUCGUUGCGUCGGGAGUGAAAACCUGCGGCUUAACCGCAGGCCUGCUUCCGAUACGGGCGAGCUAGAGUUCGGCAGGGGAGACUGGAAUUCCUGGUGUAGCGGUGGAAUGCGCAGAUAUCGGGAGGAACACCGGUGGCGAAGGCGGUUCUCUGGGCCUGUACUGACGCUGAGGAGCGAAAGCGUGGGGAGCGAACAGG
rnacentral:rRNA from 1 species